GAUGAACGCUGGCGGCGUGCCUAAUACAUGCAAGUCGAGCGAACAGACGAGGAGCUUGCUCCUCUGACGUUAGCGGCGGACGGGUGAGUAACACGUGGAUAACCUACCUAUAAGACUGGGAUAACUUCGGGAAACCGGAGCUAAUACCGGAUAAUAUAUUGAACCGCAUGGUUCAAUAGUGAAAGACGGUUUUGCUGUCACUUAUAGAUGGAUCCGCGCCGCAUUAGCUAGUUGGUAAGGUAACGGCUUACCAAGGCGACGAUGCGUAGCCGACCUGAGAGGGGGAUGGGCAAAAAGGGAAAUGAGACAGGGGCAAGACGCAAACGGGAGGAAGCAGAGGGGAAUAUGCAGAAAUGGGCGAAAGCCUGAAGGACAAAGGCAGCGGGAGAGAGAAAGGGCUUGGGAAAUAAAAAAUUGUUUAAAGGGAAAAAAAAAAGGAGAAAGGAAAAAGGAAGUGCUAGAGGGUACCGAAUAAGAAAGCCAGGACAAACUAGGGC
rnacentral:rRNA from 1 species